rnacentral:rRNA from 1 species
UACAGAGGUGGCAAGCGUUGUUCGGAAUUACUGGGCGUAAAGGGCGCGUAGGCGGCCUUCUAAGUCAGACGUGAAAUCCCCGGGCUCAACCCGGGAACUGCGUCCGAUACUGGCAGGCUUGAAUCCGGGAGAGGGAUGCGGAAUUCCAGGUGUAGCGGUGAAAUGCGUAGAUAUCUGGAGGAACACCGGUGGCGAAGGCGGCAUCCUGGACCGGCAUUGACGCUGAGGCGCGAAAGCCAGGGGAGCAAACGGG